ensembl:lncRNA
GUUACUGUGUUUGACGAUGCAUCUAACAGCCUCCAUCACUCUGCUGCUCCUGGUUCUUCUGGGGGUCACUUCAGAAGUACCACCCCCCAUUGAAACUCCCGUCACGAUUGAAGUGAGAAACUCUUUGGUCCCAGGUGAAACCGGAAAAAUCUACCGCACUUCUGUGCCCCCCAGAGCAAUUCUGCUGGGAGCAAUGAGACGACUCCAGGAAACCACCAACUUCAGUUUUACCUACACUGAGAGCAAAUAUUACGGCCCCUUUGUGACCAGUGUGAAUGGUUUGUAUGGAGAUUUCUCUCAGCGCACCUACUGGCAGCUGCUGGUGGAGAAACCGGACGGGACUGUCAUAAUACCUGAUGCUAAUAUCGGGUGCUACAUUCCAAUUGCAAAUGAUAAGAUCAUCUUUGAAUAUUCCAGCGCAUGAAGACGACUUCAGUCUGAGCUGAUUAAUAAACAUAUAACCACGUACCUGCUGAUCAGAAAAUAUGUGUAACUCGUUGUAUUCUGUUAUCACUGGGUUAUUUAGUUUAGUCACAC